GAUGAAGAACGUAGCGAAAUGCGAUAAGUAAUGUGAAUUGCAGAAUUCAGUGAAUCAUCGAAUCUUUGAACGCACAUUGCGCCCCCUGGUAUUCCGGGGGGCAUGCCUGUUCGAGCGUCAUUUCACCACUCAAGCCUCGCUUGGUAUUGGGCAACGCGGUCCGCCGCGUGCCUCAAAUCGUCCGGCUGGGUCUUCUGUCCCCUAAGCGUUGUGGAAACUAUUCGCUAAAGGGUGUUCGGGAGGCUACGCCGUAAAACAACCCCAUUUCUAAGGUUGACCUAGGAUCAGGUAGGGAUACCCGCUGAACUUAAGCAUAUCAAUAAGCGGAGGA
rnacentral:misc_RNA from 1 species